GCAUCUGCGAUGAACAUCAGCGACAUGUGGUACUUUGUUAGCCCCGUUAUAAGGUGAGAUCAUCUUUCGGGCGUGUUAGCAUUAGGUUAGCAGCCUUUGAGUGAGCUAUCAAAAUGAGUUUUAAUAGUCAAGAUCAAAGGGAAACAAUCUUCUAGCUCAGGGGUCCAGAUUGGAUCAAGCAGCCAGAAGAGGGUCAACUGAGCCCGGUUGGCACAAAGCUCCAUUUCCUGUUCCAUGCUCGUUCUCCUGCGCUGGCAUGAGGAAGGAAGAGAAAAAAAAAUCAACCAAAAC